AGUGAACGCUGGCGGCAGGCCUAACACAUGCAAGUCGAGCGGCAGCGCGUCCGACCACCCUCGGGUGGUCGGAUGGCGGCGAGCGGCGGACGGGUGAGGAAUGCAUCGGAAUCUGCCUCGUUGUGGGGGAUAACGUAGGGAAACUUACGCUAAUACCGCAUACGACCUACGGGUGAAAGUGGGGGACCUUCGGGCCUCACGCGAUGAGAUGGGCCGAUGCCGGAUUAGCUAGUUGGCGGGGUAAAGGCCCACCAAGGCGACGAUCCGUAGCUGGUCUGAGAGGAUGAUCAGCCACACUGGAACUGAGACACGGUCCAGACUCCUACGGGAGCAGCAGUGGGGAAUAUUGGACAAUGGGCGCAAGCCUGAUCCAGCAAUGCCGCGUGUGUGAAGAAGGCC
rnacentral:rRNA from 1 species